AGGGAAUAUGGGGGAUAUAGGGGAUAUUAGGGGGUAUUGGGGGAUAUAGGGGAUAUUAUGGGGGAUAUAGGGGAUAUUAUAGGGGAUUGGGGGAUAUAGGGGAUAUUAUGGGGUCAUUGGGGGACAUAGGGGCUAUUAUGGGGUUAUUGGGUGGCAAUGCGGGACAUAGGGUGUCAUUGGGGGACAUAGGGUGCCAUUGAGGGCUAUUAUGGGGUCGUAGGGUGCCAUUGGGGGCUAUUAUGGGGUCAUAGGGGGACAUAGGGGGCUAUUAUGGGGUCAUAGGGGGACAUAGGGGGCUAUUAUGGGGCCAUAGGGUGCCAUUAUUAUGCUAUUAUGGGGUCAUAGGGGGCCAUUGGGGGCUAUUAUGGGGUCAUAGGGGGCCAUUGGGGGCUAUUAUAAGGUCAUAGGGGGACAUAGGGGGCUAUUAUGGGGUUAUUGGGUGCCAUUGGUGGACAUAGAGUGUCAUUGGGGGACAUAGGGUGCCAUGGAGUGCCAUGGGGUGCCAUAGGGUGCUAUGGGGCUCUAUGGGGUGCUAUGGGGUGCCAUGGAGUGCUAUGGGGCUCUAUGGGGUGCCAUGGAGCACCAUGGGGUGCCAUAGGAUGCUAUGGGGCACUAUGGGGCGCUAUGGGGUGCCAUGGAGCACCAUGGGGUGCCAUGGGAUGCUAUGGGGCUCUAUGGGGUGCCAUGGGGUGCUAUGGGUCCUAUGGGGUGCCAUGGGGUGCUGUGGGGCGCUAUGGGUCCUAUGGGGUGCCAUGGGGUGCCAUGGGGCGCCAUGGGGUGCUAUGGGGUGCUAUGGGGCGCUAUGGGGUGCCUUCCAUUGCAGGUGGUGCAGUUCAAGCAGCAAUCCCGGCUGGAGGAGAAGCGUAAGAAGGCGCUGGACCUACAACUGGAUUUUAUUGUGGGGCAGACGGAGCGAUACUCGGAUCUGCUCAGCAGGAGCCUCAAUGCGCCAAGGAGAACCGGGACACAUGUGGGGCAGCACGAGGCUACAGAGGGGCUGAAAGGGAGACGGAGAGCGCUCCCUACAGGAGCUGCUGCAGAAAUACGCCGGGGCCUUCAAUGAUUCCGACUGCGAGUCAGCGCCCGCGGCCAGCAGCACCAGAUCCGGUAUGGGCUCUAUAUGGGGUCUAUGGGGUGUGUAUGGGGUCUAUAUGGGGUCUAUGGGGUCCUGAU
rnacentral:lncRNA from 1 species